ensembl:lncRNA
CUCAGAUGGCGUAUUUAUUUUCAUUCACAGUUAUUAGACAUGUCUCGUGUCUACAGUGCUGUCUUGUUCUCCAACGGAGACGUCGUUGACUUUCUGUGUUGUUUGUUUUGGCACACUUGGCAGGAGCGGGUUUAAGCACAACCGUGUUCAUGUCUGCUGUUGCACAUUGUAAUUGGACUGUGAGUGUUUAAGGAAACGCGUAACCUAGAGUCCAAAAAUUAGGAGUUACUUUAGUACCUUACCUCUGUCAUUGAAAUAUUCAAAUUUAUUUUAUAUUCUUAAAGUUGGGACCAAAAUCCGUUGUUAAUAUGUAUAUGUAAAAAAAUUGGUCUUUCCAACAGCUGUAGAACUAAUAAACAUGCAGUGCAUGCUGACAUACACAGAAAAUAAUUAAUAGGGGAAAUAAUAGACAUUAAUGUUCUUGAUUAAUGACAAAAAUGAGAAGAAACAUUGAUUAAAUUCUAAAUGUGAUGGGUCAUGACUUGCCCUUUACAGCAUGUUAUGCUUCAUUAAAAAAAAAAAACUUGGGCACACUGCUCUAUUCUUUUCAUGAAUUCAGUAAACACAUAUGUUUGGGAUAUUCAUGGGUAAUGGAGCCUCUGCUAUUAUAAGUCUAAACUACAUCUCUCAUGUAGCUUUGAAUUUGGACAUCAGAACUCCUUUAUAUACAAUAGAAAAGAUAUAUAGCUGUUUAAUACUUGUUAUAAUCUGGCACAGAAAGAUUGUUACUGUUGUAAUUGGAAGACUUAUGCUCUGAUGUGUUCUUAUCCCAGUAUUGGCCAAUUCAUACUGAGAGCAAACUGCCAUCUGACCAGAGUUUUAGUUUUUCUUCUACUGGGACAUGUUUCCUCUCUGGGUUUAGAGCGAGGCAUUCAGUGGCACUCCACUCCUGAUCCUGACCAGCACUCUGUUCUGACCGCUGCAGGUGAGUUCAGUGCGUAUUACUUUAAACUUAUGCCAUUAAUGAAAACUUACAAUUUUAUCAUUUUAAAUCCAGAAGUCACAGUGCCUCCAUUCUGGGUGACAAUCCUGCUGAACUCUGACCCGAGUGGAAACCGCUGUGACAGAUGACCCGCUGACUCUUUAAAGACCUGUGAACACGAGAGGAUGUCUGUGCUCGCUGAAGUGGCCAUUCAGGGAUCAGAAGAGCGUUUUGUCCCAGAAUGCAGUGCAGAUGGGUGGUACAGAGCCGUUCAGGACACUGCUGGAACCAAUUGCCUGACUGCAGCCCCCAGGAAACACACGCUCAUCAUCAACAACAACUGCUACACCCAAACCCCUCUCUCAGGUCAGAUCUCAGGCUGGAUGUGAUAAGUUGCACCCAGAAUGGGAAGAAUGUCAAAAGGUUGGGACAACAUGCCUUUACUCAUCUAAACCCA